rnacentral:rRNA from 1 species
GAACGUACGCUGGCGGCACGCCUAACACAUGCAAGUCGAACGAAGUAGCAAUACUUAGUGGCAGACGGGUGAGUAACAUGUAGGUAUCUGCCCUUUGGCCUGGAAUAACACGAGGAAACUUGUGCUAAUACCGGAUAAGUCUUUACGGAGAAAGCUUUAUGCACCAUUGGAUGAGCCCGCACUUGAUUAGUUUGUUGGUAGGGUAAUGGCCUACCAAGACUAUGAUCAAUAGCUGAUUUGAGAGGAUGAUCAGCCACAUUGGGACUGAGACACGGCCCAAACUCCUACGGGAGGCAGCAGUGGGGAAUCUUGCACAAUGGAGGAAACUCUGAUGCAGCGAUGCCGCGUGAGUGAAGAAGGCCUUUGGGUUGUAAAGCUCUUUCGUCGGGGAAGAAAAUGACUGUACCCGAAUAAGAAGGUCCGGCUAACUUCGUGCCAGCAGCCGCGGUAAUACGAAGGGACCUAGCGUAGUUCGGAAUUACUGGGCUUAAAGAGUUCGUAGGUGGUUGAAAAAGUUGGUGGUGAAAUCCCAGAGCUUAACUCUGGAACUGCCAUCAAAACUUUUCAGCUAGAGUAUGAUAGAGGAAAGCAGAAUUUCUAGUGUAGAGGUGAAAUUCGUAGAUAUUAGAAAGAAUACCAAUUGCGAAGGCAGCUUUCUGGAUCAUUACUGACACUGAGGAACGAAAGCAUGGGUAGCGAAGAGGAUUAGAUACCCUCGUAGUCCAUGCCGUAAACGAUGUGUGUUAGACGUUGGAAAUUUAUUUUCAGUGUCGCAGGGAAACCGAUAAACACACCGCCUGGGGAGUACGACCGCAAGGUUAAAACUCAAAUGAAUUGACGGGGACCCGCACAAGUAGUGGAGCAUGUGGUUUAAUUCGAAGAUACGCGCAGAACCUUACCAACACUUGACAUGUUCGUCGCGACUCUAAGAGAUUAGAGUUUUCGGUUCGGCCGGACGAAACACAGGUGCUGCAUGGCUGUCGUCAGCUCGUGUCGUGAGAUGUUGGGUUAAGUCCCGCAACGAGCGCAACCCUCACUUUUAGUUGCCAUCAUUAAGUUGGGCACUCUGAAAGAACUGCCAGUGAUAAGCUGGAGGAAGGUGGGGAUGACGUCAAGUCCUCAUGGCCCUUACGUGUUGGGCUACACACGUGCUACAAUGGCAUCUACAACAGGAAGCAAAACGGCAACGUUAAGCAAAUCCCGAAAAGAUGCCUCAGUUCGGAUUGCACUCUGCAACUCGAGUGCAUGAAGCUGGAAUUACUAGUAAUCGUGGAUCAGCGUGCCACGGUGAAUGCGUUCCCGGGUCUUGUACACACCGCC